UUGCCCGUUGGUGGAUUUGUGAGGCAGCAAGUCAUCUGCCCCCAGGUUAGUUGCUGCGUGGAGUGGUGCGUGCGGUGAGCAUCGUCGCCGUCUGUGUUGGUGAGCUGGGCACUGUACCACAAGUGCUUCGUGGGACAGUGUAGAUGCGUCAGUUUUGUUUGUGAGUGAAUCGCGGAAUCAAUUGCCGAUGGCCUUUUUUGUUGUCAAGCGAGAAGUGUGUUGCUCCAUCUAUAGCCAAAAUGUAACAGGACAAUCGGAGAUGACUGGAGAGAUGCUUCUUUGGAUGGCUGGAGUAUUGGGUGCUAAUAACCGCGCAUACGAGAGUGGCAGUGCCACAUUUUCUGUGCGAUUAUGGAUUGAUUGCAGCAUACGUCUUGGAUUCUGACACUUUUAAGGUAAUUGGAUUGGCUGUAGUUGUAGUAUUGAUUAUCAUCUUAAUGUGGUUUUCUUUUCUUUUCAUGCAUGGCUUCUUUUGUUUCAUUUUGUUGCUGAGCGUCGCUGGCAUUCCAGAAUGCGAUUUUAAAAGAGUCGCCAUUCUGGUUGCCAGUACGAGAUGCAAUUGUGCGAUUGGU